GCCAGGUGUGGUGGUGUGCACCUGUAAUCUUAGCUACUGGGAGGCUGAGAUGGGGGGAUCGUUUGAGCCCAGGAUGUUGAGGCUGCAGUGAGCUGUGAUUGCAAUGCUACACUCCAGCCUGGGCAACAGAGCGAGACCCCUGUCUCAA
ensembl:misc_RNA Metazoa_SRP Metazoan signal recognition particle RNA